rnacentral:rRNA from 1 species
AACGAACGCUGGCGGCAUGCCUAACACAUGCAAGUCGAACGAGACCUUCGGGUCUAGUGGCGCACGGGUGCGUAACGCGUGGGAACCUGCCCUUAGGUUCGGAAUAACUCCCCGACAGGGGUGCUAAUACCGGAUAAUGUCUUCGGACCAAAGAUUUAUCGCCCUUGGAUGGGCCCGCGUUGUAUUAGCUAGUUGGUAGGGUAAAAGCCUACCAAGGCGACGAUCCAUAGCUGGUCUGAGAGGAUGAUCAGCCACACUGGGACUGAGACACGGCCCAGACUCCUACGGGAGGCAGCAGUGGGGAAUAUUGGACAAUGGGCGAAAGCCUGAUCCAGCAAGGCCGCGUGAGUGAUGAAGGCCUUAGGGUUGUAAAGCUCUUUUACCCGGGAUGAUAAUGACAGUACCGGGAGAAUAAGCUCCGGCUAACUCCGUG